rnacentral:rRNA from 1 species
GACGAACGCUGGCGGCGUGCCUAAUACAUGCAAGUCGAACGCAGUGGGGACGGGUGAGUAACACGUGGGUAACCUCCCCUCAGAGGGGAUACACCUUGGAAACAGGUGCUAAUCCGAUACUGAUGGAUGGACCCGCGGUGCAUUAACUAGUUGGUGAGGUAACGGCUCACCAAGGCCACGAUGCAUAGCUGACCUGAGAGGGCGAGCGGCAACACUGGGACUGAGACACGGGCCAGAAUCCUAAGGGAGGCAGCAGUGGGGAAUCUUCGGCAAUGGGCGAAAGGCUGACCGAGCAACGCCGCGUGAGUGAAGAAGGUUUUCGGGUCGUAAAACUCUGUUGUUAGAGAAGCGGUAUCUAACCAGAAAGCAACGGCUAACUACGUGCCAGCAGCCGCGGUAAUAC